rnacentral:rRNA from 1 species
GACGAACGCUGGCGGCGUGCUUAACACAUGCAAGUCGAACGCUGAAGACCUGGCUUUUGUUGGGUUGGAUGAGUGGCGAACGGGUGAGUAACACGUGAGUAACCUGCCCUCUUCUUUGGGAUAACGCCCGGAAACGGGUGCUAAUACUGGAUAUUCACUGGCCUUCGCAUGGGGGUUGGUGGGAAGGUUUGUUCUGGUGGGGGAUGGGCUCGCGGCCUAUCAGCUUGUUGGUGGGGUGAUGGCCUACCAAGGCUUUGACGGGUAGCCGGCCUGAGAGGGUGACCGGUCACAUUGGGACUGAGAUACGGCCCAGACUCCUACGGGAGGCAGCAGUGGGGAAUAUUGCACAAUGGGCGAAAGCCUGAUGCAGCGACGCCGCGUGAGGGAUGGAGGCCUUCGGGUUGUAAACCUCUUUCGCUCAUGGUCAAGCCGCAACUGUGGGUUGUGGUGAGGGUAGUGGGUAAAGAAGCGCCGGCUAACUACGUG